UACGAAGGUGGCAAGCGUUGUUCGGAUUCACUGGGCGUACAGGGUGUGUAGGCGGUUUGGUAAGCCUUCUGUUAAAGCUUCGGGCCCAACCCGGAAAGCGCAGAGGGUACUGCCAGGCUAGAGGGUGGGAGAGGAGCGCGGAAUUCCCGGUGUAGCGGUGAAAUGCGUAGAUAUCUGGAGGAACACCGAUGGCGAAGGCAGCCCCCUGGGCCAACACUGACGCUCAGGCACGAAAGCGUGGGGAGCAAACAGG
rnacentral:rRNA from 1 species